UCCUACGGGAGGCAGCAGUAGGGAAUCUUCCGCAAUGGACGAAAGUCUGACGGAGCAACGCCGCGUGAGUGAUGAAGGCUUUCGGGUCGUAAAACUCUGUUGUUAGGGAAGAACAAGUGCUAGUUGAAUAAGCUGGCACCUUGACGGUACCUAACCAGAAAGCCACGGCUAACUACGUGCCAGCAGCCGCGGUAAUACGUAGGUGGCAGGCGUUAUCCGGAAUUAUUGGGCGUAAAGCGCGCGCAGGUGGUUUCUUAAGUCUGAUGUGAAAGCCCACGGCUCAACCGUGGAGGGUCAUUGGAAACUGGGAGACUUGAGUGCAGAAGAGGAAAGUGGAAUUCCAUGUGUAGCGGUGAAAUGCGUAGAGAUAUGGAGGAACACCAGUGGCGAAGGCGACUUUCUGGUCUGUAACUGACACUGAGGCGCGAAAGCGUGGGGAGCAAACAGGAUUAGAUACCCUGGUAGUCCACGCCGUAAACGAUGAGUGCUAAGUGUUAGAGGGUUUCCGCCCUUUAGUGCUGAAGUUAACGCAUUAAGCACUCCGCCUGGGGAGUACGGCCGCAAGGCUGAAACUCAAAGGAA
rnacentral:rRNA from 1 species